rnacentral:rRNA from 1 species
UACGUAGGUGGCGAGCGUUGUUCGGAUUUAUUGGGCGUAAAGGGUUCGUAGGUGGUUCGCUAAGUCUGACGUGAAAUCCCGUGGCUCAACCACGGAACUGCGUUGAAGACUGGCGGACUUGAGUAUUGGAGAGGUAAGCGGAAUACCAGGUGUAGCGGUGGAAUGCGUAGAUAUCUGGUAGAACACCGAGAGCGAAGGCAGCUUGCUGGACAAUAACUGACACUGAGGAACGAAAGCGUGGGGAGCAAACAGGAUUAGAUACCCUGGUAGUCCACGCCGUAAACGUUGUCAACUUGAUGUGGGAGGAUUUAGUCCCUUCCGUAUCGAAGCUAACGCGAUAAGUUGACCGCCUGGGGACUACGGCCGCAAGGCUAAA